rnacentral:rRNA from 1 species
UUAAGGCUCCCAGUAGACGACUGGGUUGAUAGGCCAGAUAUGGAAGCCGGGUAACUGGUGGAGUUGACUGGUACUAAUAGGCCGAGGGCUUGUCCUCAGAUG